rnacentral:ncRNA from 1 species
UAUGAGUAAGCGUGGGAGAUGUAGAGGCAGCCUGUUUUAGGUAGCAGCCCGCAUGGGUGGGAUCCUCGGUUCCUAGGACUCACAUUUGA